rnacentral:rRNA from 1 species
GAUUAAGUUAUUAAGGGCGCACGGUGGAUGCCUUGGCACUAGAAGCCGAUGAAGGACGUUACUAACGACGAUAUGCUUUGGGGAGCUGUAAGUAAGCUUUGAUCCAGAGAUUUCCGAAUGGGGAAACCCAGCAUGAGUUAUGUCAUGUUAUCGAUAUGUGAAUACAUAGCAUAUCAGAAGGCACACCCGGAGAACUGAAACAUCUUAGUACCCGGAGGAAGAGAAAGAAAAUUCGAUUCCCUUAGUAGCGGCGAGCGAAACGGGAAGAGCCCAAACCAACAAGCUUGCUUGUUGGGGUUGUAGGACACUCUAUACGGAGUUACAAAGGACGACAUUAGACGAAUCAUCUGGAAAGAUGAAUCAAAGAAGGUAAUAAUCCUGUAGUCGAAAAUGUUGUCUCUCUUGAGUGGAUCCUGAGUACGACGGAGCACGUGAAAUUCCGUCGGAAUCUGGGAGGACCAUCUCCUAAGGCUAAAUACUCUCUAGUGACCGAUAGUGAACCAGUA